AAAGCAUAGAUUAAAUCGUACUAUACCAUACGAUUUUGCAGAAACGCUCGGGAAUUCAGGUGCUGUAAAUCCGGUGGACAGGACUCAUCUCGUUAUAGAUCAAGAUAAUUUAUAAAGAUCUUUAAGGGUCGGAAUAUCAGAUAGUUGAAAUAGUUCAUAUUUUUAAUUAAAAAAGUAAAAACGAAAUAAGAGGAAUAGCAUACAUUAUUGUUGUUGCGAUGUGUCACGUGACAAUCAUGACCCGUCGCCAUGGACACAAGGGGUCGGAUAUUUAAAGUUAAAUAUUUUUAACUUACGCGUGAAAUGGUUAAUUUAAAAUAUAUAUAUAUUCUAAGUAAACAACAACAGCCCAAGUUUAGUAAACAUUUUUUUAUUGAAACUAUAAAUAAAUAUUAUGCAUCCAUUAGGUGUGCCACUGUGGGUGGCUCCCGCACACCCGUGGCUACGCCCCUGCCGUGACCCAAAUCUCGUUCGCACAUCAUCGCGAUGUUUAUCAUCAAUUUACAAACCUCUCCAGUCGCCACAUCUUUUUUCUUCACAUACAUCUCAUACUCCUCCAUCUACACUCUUCACAACAUUUAAACCAACGGCUCUUUUAACAGCCAUCACUUGCAAAAGCUCUCCUAAAGCAGCUGAUGGCGAUUUACUUCUAAUCACAGAACCGGCUUUACUGAUGAAACACGCAUGAGAAUCGCAGACGAUUUUUUUGCACAGUUUUGACCAGUUAUGUCAGGAAGCUGCAACUAUUUCAAAGCAUCUUGAAAUGAAAGCUGACAAUGCUGAACUUGAAGCAGCUACCAGGGAGGCUGAAGAAAUUCUACAAAUGUUCAAUCCUCCACUGCUGAAAAAGAAGACCAAACAAGCGAUUUCCUGGACUUGACAGACACAGUGAACUUUGCACUGCAUUUCAAAGCCAGCUUCUCAGCCGCAACACCGAGAACCAGAGUUGAGAUCAAUGUACUGCUGAGAAAAGUGCAAGAUCUGUUUAACCAAAAAUAUAAGGAUGCCAGAGGUACCGGAAGGCUCCCCUGGUAAAUCAAGGCAUGACAGUUGCAGGACUGCCCAACAGCCUCAAAAAGCCAUCCUAUUAUGGAAGGAACCAGUUGGAGGCCAUUUUGCAAGCUGCUGAGGAGAUUUCAUUUGAAAUCAAUGCAGCACAAUGCAACUCCACUGACAAAGCAGAAGGAAUGUUAGAGGCGAUGGACGCAGAAGAGCUGGAAGAACAGUCCUCAGAAACAGCCACCACUGUAGCUAUCGUGAUGACUGCAGAUUAAGAUGGAGGCCAUUUGUGCUGUGUCUGCCGCUUCCUUUUCGAUGACAGGAAGAAGAAUGCUUCAGAGAAGUGGUGUUUAUGGUCACAGUGCACAGGGUGCCAAUCAUGGUCACACACUGCAUGUCAAGACACCAUGCAAACAGCCUGUAGCGCUGCAUCAGUGAUAGGAAAUAUGCUAGUUACACAAGAUGUUUUAUGUUUUAACUUUGAGUUGUUUUUAUUUUGUUCAUGACCCCAUCCCUACAAACACACACACAUAUUUUUUUUAUUUUUAUGUAUUAGGUGCAAUUUAAUUUUUUUCAUGCAAAUGUAUUGUAAUGAUUACACUUAUAAGAAUAAAACAGAUUUUUAAUUCA